CACGGGCUUUAUACGGAUCACGAAACGACAGAAGACGACCGACGGCACACGCAAGUUUGGUCAGGCGACAGCACGAAAAGUUCCCCGAAGGAGCGCGUUAGUUCUUUGGAUUCAAAAGCCGACGCGAAACGACGGUCUGUUGCUCCGAACCGGGAAAGGGAAGACAAGCACUAUAUCACUUGAAGCAGAAAAAUACCCCGCUGGGGUUUUUCUGUGGAGCCAAUUCCCAUCAUCGAGGUCCGGGAGUAUCGUGAUCGAGGCAGCGGUGCGACAAGGCGACGGUCGGAUUGCCGAAACAUCGAUUGCGUUUCGUCCGGCAGGACUAGGUCGGAGAAGAUUCGUUCGGGAACAAGCAGCCCUUCAGUGGAUCACUCGGAGGGACCCCAUCCAGUUACUUGGUCGCACUGGACGGCCAGAGGGGUCUCCAGCAGAGUGAUUAGGAUGCAUGCGUGGGACGGCAGUGAAAUGCGGCAGGCGAGCAGUCGCGGCAGCGAGAGCUCCGCCGAGAAAAUAGUGUAGGGGGACGCCCCGAACUCAGAAGGUACAGCAGAUGCUGUGAAGAGACCGUGAGUACG